GAAAAAUGUCCGAUAGAUCUUCGAAUUUAUUUAAAUUUCUCAAAAAUUGACAAAUGAAUUUCAGCAUCUGAGAUUUUCGCCUGUAGUGUAUUUUGGGGUCCUGCGAAAAAAACAAAAAUUUCAAAUGUGCUGUCUUUAUCGUAACACAUCACGUCUCAGUUCUCAAAUUUCAAGUUACGAACCAGGAAAAAAAAUGGAAUACUUCUGAAAACAAGAGGCAAUUCGACGUGAAGAAAAGAAUUACAGAGACAAUAAUAAAGAAGAAAAUUGGUACACGAUGAAAAUGUUGCUGAAGCAUUUUACAAUUGGCAGCUGUGAACGUAUGUGACGUUUCUAAAAAUAGCGGCGGCGGUGGUUAAAAAAUUACAAGCUGCGGCCGACGCCGAGGUGUUCUGAAAAGGCGAACAGCACACAUUUUCGGAUUGCGAUGACGACGGUACUCUGUGCAGAAGAUCGUUUUCUACCGAUGUCUGCUGUCUAAGCUGUUCUAGUCGCAUUUGAUUCUGCCGUUUCCAUUUCGUUCUGCAAAAUACGAUCGAGAAUCUUAAUACACUGAUGUGAAAAUCGCGCUCAAAGGCCAUUGAAUCUUUUGAAGGACAAAAAAAUCUUACAACAAAUUCAUUACCUGUGUCCAAUGUUGAAUUGCUAUCGAACAUAAUUAAUUUCAUCGGGAAAUUCGCAGUUUCAAAUCAGCUGGGGAUGUUUGUUUCUAAACCGAUUUUUUUUUUACUCGAAUCUUGCCCUAAAAAUGGAGAGCAGUAUCUCGAAACGAAAUCCACCAAGAACGACUGAGAUAUUUUAUUCGCGAUGAUGGAAAAAACAUCGAGACAAACAGAUUUUUAAAACGAUGUUCCAUAUCAAGCUGUCGAUUUAUUGUAAUAUAGUGAUUGAAAACUCAGGAGAAAGCACAUCGAAAAAUUACAAAAAUAUCGACCUAUUUCAAUCAACAGAUCAAUUUCGAUUUCGAUUACGUUCUCGUCUCAGCCCAGAUACCUGUUUUAUGUUGCAUUCUCUUCGAAGAUUUUGGAUCAAGGUUGUCUUCGCAAUUGUGUUAAUUUAUACGAUGAAUGUAUAUUGAAGAUUCAUGAAAUUGAAGAUGAUCUCAUAUUUGGAAAAAUCCAGAACACUGCUGUCCACAACUUCGAGUUAAAAUUGAAAUGAAAUAUGUACCCUAUCAACAAAAAUGAAACUAUCAUCAAGUAUCGACUCACCUGCAGUACUGCGAAGAUAGUAC